rnacentral:rRNA from 1 species
UACGUAGGGCGCAAGCGUUAUCCGGAAUUAUUGGGCGUAAAGAGCUCGUAGGCGGUUUGUCGCGUCUGCCGUGAAAGUCCGGGGCUCAACUCCGGAUCUGCGGUGGGUACGGGCAGACUAGAGUGAUGUAGGGGAGACUGGAAUUCCUGGUGUAGCGGUGAAAUGCGCAGAUAUCAGGAAGAACACCUAUGGCGAAGGCAGCUCUCUGGGACGGUACUGACGCUGAGACGCGAAAGCGUGGGGAGCGAACAGG